rnacentral:lncRNA from 1 species
CACAGCCAGUUGUUAGGGUCCUAUCCACAGAGACCAGGUCUACCCGUAGUAGACAACACAGUCAGUUGUUAGGGUCCUAUUCCACAGAGACCAGGUCUACCAGUAGUAGACAACACAGUCAUUGUUAGGGUCCUAUUCCCCCAGAGACCAGCUACACACUAGUAGACAAACACAGUCAGUUGUUAGGGUCCUAUUCCACAGAGACCAGGUCUACCAGUAGUAGACAACACAGUCAGGUGUUAGGGUCCAUUCCACAGAGACCAGUCAGUAGAGCCAACACAGUCAGUUGUUACGGUCCUAUUCCACAGAGAACCACUUCUACCAGUAGUAGACAACACAGUCAGUUGUUAGGGUCCUAUUCCACAGAGACCAGUAGUAGACAACACAGUCAGUUGUUAGGGUCCUAUUCCACAGAGACCAGUCUACCAGUAGUAGACAACACAGUCAG